rnacentral:misc_RNA from 1 species
GAAAUGCGAUAAGUAAUGUGAAUUGCAGAAUUCAGUGAAUCAUCGAAUCUUUGAACGCACCUUGCGCUCCUUGGUAUUCCUUGGAGCAUGCCUGUUUGAGUAUCAUGAAAUCUUCAAAGUAAAUCUUUUGUUAACUCAAUUGGUUUCUACUUUGGUAUUGGAGGUCUUUGCAGCUUCACACCUGCUCCUCUUUGUUCAUUAGCUGGAUCUCAGUGUUAUGCUUGGUUCCACUCGGCGUGAUAAGUUAUCUAUCGCUGAGGACACUGUAAAAGGUGGCCAAGGUAAAUGCAGAUGACUCGCUUCUAAUAGUCCAUUGACUUGGACAAUACUUUUAUGAUCUGAUCUCAAAUCAGGUAGGACUACCCGCUGAACUUAAGC